GACGAACCGAGCGAACGUUAUUCGGAAUCACUGGGCUUAAAGGGCGCGUAGGCGGGCCAUCAAGUCGAGGGUGAAAGCCCCCAGCUCAACUGGGGAAGUGCCUCCGAUACUGGUGGUCUCGAGGGAGAUAGGGGCGUGCGGAACUUCCGGUGGAGCGGUGAAAUGCGUAGAUAUCGGAAGGAACACCGGUGGCGAAAGCGGCGCGCUGGAUCUCUUCUGACGCUGAGGCGCGAAAGCCAGGGGAGCGAACGGG
rnacentral:rRNA from 1 species